UACGUAGGUCCCGAGCGUUGUCCGGAUUUAUUGGGCGUAAAGCGAGCGCAGGUGGUUUAUUAAGUCUGGUGUAAAAGGCAGUGGCUCAACCACUGUAUGCAUUGGAAACUAGUAGACUUGAGUGCAGGAGAGGAGAGUGGAAUUCCAUGUGUAGCGGUGAAAUGCGUAGAUAUAUGGAGGAACACCGGUGGCGAAAGCGGCUCUCUGGCCUGUAACUGACACUGAGGCUCGAAAGCGUGGGGAGCAAACAGG
rnacentral:rRNA from 1 species